GAAGGAGUGUUGUGUGUCGCGGCAGGACUGACCUACAAUUUUGAAGGCUACAAUUACAAUACAAUAUUUAUAGUAGUAGUAGUUGUAAGUUAGCAGCAGUAGCAGAGGAGCAGACAGUGACCCUGUCUGCCUGGGUGAUCCUGAGAGUUAUUUUAGGCUGCGGGUGGUGGGUGUUUGUGGGUUGUUUGUUUCUGAGAUCAGCCGGGAGGGAGGGAUGUACCCACCUGCCCCUGUGGAAGAAUUGAAUUGAAAGGAAACAGCGGAGAGUGUAGGAUUCGUGAGAAUCGAGUGUGUUACAUGCCCUCAAUCUAGUGCAGCAUUGUGGGUACCAUUAGCUUUUACGAGCGAGCGAGGAAGAGGAGGAGGAUCUAGAGGAGUUGUGGAGAUGGAGAUGGUGGAGAUGGAGAUAGAGAUGGUGGGGAUGGAGGUUGAGACUAUGGGCCAUUGGGUCGGAUCGGUGCCAAGUUGUUAUCGCUCCUGAGAGCCUUGGAAUCCCUGUCUCGUUGAGGUCACGUUUGGCUUGUUGGAUGUUCAGCGCUGUUCAGCUCGGUUGGGUGUUUGUUUCUUUGUGUCAUUGUGCAAUCACUCCAUGUUGGGUUGAUCUUUUCGUCGGUUUUGUGGUGAUUGGAGUGAGGUGUAUAUCUCCGAGUAGUGGUGUCUGGAGAGGAGAUUUAUGUGGGUUUGUGUGAGGGAGUUAAGGCGAGGGUUGAAGGAGAUUGUUGGACAGGGUCAUGUCAAUUGAGAAGGCGGGCUUUGGAUGCUGAGAUGGAAAGAAGCCUUGAGUUGCCUUUUUCGUGGUGCGGAUGGAACUGCAUUCGUGGGCGGCGUGGUUUGCUAUUGUCCUAGUGACCGUGAGAUUUAUGGGAAGCAUUAAUGUGGAAAGUAACUGAGUGCUCGCGAUGUGCAUUUGGGCUAGUUUGGUGCACGCGGUAAUGGACCUGUGGGUGGAUUAAAGAGAUUGUCACAUCGUGUGAUGGCUCAACUUUCAGCUGUGACCUUUUCCGGAGAAGUGCCUCUUUCGGGCCUUGAGGGUGUGAGGGUUGGUAAUUGCAACAGUGCGAUGUUGUGCUCUGGUGGCUCGUGCAAGUAGGUCAGCGCAUUGCGGGAGAGUGGAGGGUUUAGCAUCCAUUAUUAAGAUUGCGAUGCCAAUGUCUCAAGGCGGCUAAGGAAGAACAUCGCAGCUGAGAAUGCCUAGUCCGAGGACCGGGAGACGUUCGGGCAGCAUGGAGACCUCACGACAAUCUCCAACUUGUACAGCGGAAGUCCUUUAUCUGCUUAGUCGUGGCGCGCACUUAGAGCAUCCCCAUAUGAUCAAUGUACAGUAUGCGUCUCAUCAACCAGGUCCCACCUUAAAAGAUGUGAAGGCUCGAUUAAUCGCACUACGAGGUAAAGGAAUGCCAGAUUCAUUUUCUUGGUCGUACAAAAGGAGUUAUAAGGAUACCUUCAUCUGGUGCGACUUGUUCGACGAUGAUUUCAUUCUUCCUCUUAGUGGAACCGGAGAGUAUGUCCUGAAAGCAAUGGAACUCUUCGAUGCAUUGCAAGACGAUGAUAAUAUCGAGUGCGAAGAACCUCAAUUGGCUAAAGAAUCCAUGCCUAUUCGAAGCUCUAGAGACAUUAGCCCAAUGAAGCCAUCGAAGCCUUCUACGAAAGAGGAGUAUCUACACGUGGAAAGCAAUUUUCCCGUGGCAAUGAAGAAAAGCUUAAUGCCCAUCAGUGAUGCUGAUGACGCGACUUCUGACAACAGUAAGAACUUGAACAACCAGACUAAGAAGAAUCUUGCCCACAGCAAAAGAGCGACUGAAGUUUGUAGCUUAGAUUACAGCGACGCCUCCAGCAAUAGGAUGCACCCUUCAUGUGAAGACGGCGUUGAGAACGAGAAGUAUGUUGAGAGGCAAAGACAGCAGAAUGAUGUAGCCAGAACAGAAAGGGGUGCAGCUGCAAAGGAAUGCAAUUUAAGCUCACGAACUGUGCGAAGAGAGUUGUUGCUUCAGGGUGAUGUCUAUGACAAAGAUACAUCUUCUAUAUCUGGCAAUGUUGGCGAAGAUAAAGAUCAUCUUCCAAGGAAUGGAACUAAAAGCGUAGCAUCUAUGAUAGAAAAGUCUUCGGUGGCCAAGCAGUGCAACGCGGGCUCACAGACUCCUUUUAGGGAGUCCUCGCUGCACAAGGAUGCUGCAACGGAUCGUAAGGAGUUGAUAGAUAGUUCGACAGCUACACCCAUCAUGAAAGAUAACAUGUCAGUAUUCUCUCCUUCACCUGCCGUGAGUUCAGUUCCCAAGAGAAGGAUGUGGGAGAAGGAGAUUGACAAAAGCACUAUCUAUACAGAACUUAUUCAUAGCAAAAGUUCUGACGACGAGCAGCGCAUCCCUCGAAUGGAAGUGCAUGAUAUUAUAACAGAAACUAGUUCGCCGUGCUUAUCUGCUCCUGAGGAUCCAUUUUUAUACGGCGUAUUGCGAAAGGCAACCCGGUUGGGAAGUUUUAGGCCGCGGAUGUGCAGAGGCAUCGAUGUCGUUGAUUCAACUCGAGCGAGAACGAAGAUGCCCUUCAGAAGCAAAGCAAGAGAUGAAAGCAAUAAAGUCUCCAAGAGUCCAGGGAAGAAUACAGGAUUUUUGGUUGACGAGUCUCCAAAGAGCAUCAAUUCUUGUCCAGAAGCUUCAGAGAAACAGAACACCCACACCUCUUCAGAUCAGCCUACAAUGGAGUACAUGACACUCUUGCAGUACUUUGAGUCUGGAGAGAGACCUUCACCCGUUCCCAAGCUCAUGAGUGAAGCACCUUCUGCAGAAGACUCAUCUAAGCAGCAGUUGAGCUUCGUUCAAGCAGCACCUCAACCGCUUGGAACUGCUGCUCUUGUCACAGACCUACCAGAAAUUGAUCCUCUCCUACCAGAGCUCCGAUCAUUUGGUAACAACGCUCUUGAUCUCUCGUAUAGAGAAACUAUGGAAGCUCUCGCGAAACUUCCGGCUCGAGGAGUUUGCAGAAUGCGCACUAUUCCUCAAGUUUCAGAAGUUCCAGAGCCAGUGACACGGCCGGUACCCCGCAGAGACGAACACAAGGUCAUGUCCGGAUCGAAAGGAGACAAGCAGGAGGCUAAAUUGGACUCAAAAAGCCCUACGGCGAGUACGCCUCCAUCCCGGCAGGCUCCCAAAUCAAGGGUUGAACCUGACACUCCCAGUCCAGGAUCUAUGCACAACACGCACGGCCGAACUACUGGUAAAACCCAAGAAGAGCCCCCCAACAGCGUGACCUCGAAGCAGAGAAGACCUAAUGCUAAAAAGUGUUCAGAAACGUCGAUUUCCAGAAAUUUGAGCAAGGAGUCUUCUCCCAAGCGUCAUGACGAACAAUUUCAUACAGUAGAAGAAUCUACCAUAUCUCGAGUUUCAGACAGCUCUACUUUCGAUUCCCGUACCUCACAUGCCGGUAGUGGUAACAAUCAAGGCUUGAAGAGGACGACUCAGAGAGCAACUGAAGCUGCUGAUAAAGCUUCUUUAAAAUCGAGUUUAAACGAAGGAUCAAAGGGUUGGCCCUUCGAGCAUCCCUCCAGGCCAAAGGACUUCAAAAGUAGAGAAGACAGACUACUGACUCCAGGCCUAACGCAAAUGGAUUGGGAGAAGUCGCUCCAGGAGGCAGUGAUGAAAAGCGAACCUCCUGUGGACAUGGUCUUGCAUGAAUGCUUGUAAGUAAGCGCGAUUCCUGAUGAAUUGAAACCCAUAUUCAGUAUUUGGAAGGUCCUACUUGUGCCCUGCAAUGUGGGAGGACCUUUAAGCUGGAGUCAUUGCAGGUACACAUGCGGGGUUGCCAUGCAAUCAAUAAGCCAAAGUCAUUGUCAACGCAGAGGAGAAGAGUAUCUCAAUAAAAACUUAGUGGAUAGCUUAGUUUCGAGCCAGUCCUGUGCAAGUCUUUCUUCAUCAACGAAGAACCAGCUCCGAACCACCGCAAGAGAUAUGUCACUUAGCCAACUGAAGGAUGUAACAGAAUUUUAAUUGUACAGGAGAGAAACAGGAAAUUUUCGCUUUUUUCCCAGCCUGAGGUUUACUUCCAAUUAUCUUUCAUCUUAGGGCAUACGCUCAUGAGAACUUCCAGCGAGAGUACAUGAUUGUAAGCGGCUGGAAAAAUUGCUACGUUUCUUGAGCUGCUCUUAGAUGCAGCUCCUUGAACCAGUUUAGUUAAAAAGUGGACUUGCAAAGUACAGCGAGCUAAACAGAUUGUAAGAGUCAAAUAUUCCCAUUGAAGAGAAAAUUUCGAAAGGA